UGUCUUCGAGGUUGGGUGAAAUUCCCUACCGGCGGUAAAAGUCCGCAAGCUCUACGGAGCACGAAUUGGUGCAAUUCCAAUACCGACAGUAAAGUCUGGAUGAGAGAAGGUU
rnacentral:ncRNA from 1 species